rnacentral:rRNA from 1 species
GGCUCAGGACGAACGCUGGCGGCGUGCCUAAUACAUGCAAGUCGAACGGCUUUUCUAUGGAAGCUUGCUUCCACUGAGAAGAUAGUGGCGAACGGGUGAGUAACACGUGGGGUAACCUGCCCAUAAGAGGGGGGAUAACAUCCGGAAACGGGUGCUAAUACCGCAUAGUUUUCUUGAUCGCAUGAUUGAGAAAGGAAAGACGGCCUUUGUGCUGUUGCUUAUGGAUGGACCCGCGGCGUAUUAGUUAGUUGGUGAGGUAAUGGCUCACCAAGACGAUGAUACGUAGCCGACCUGAGAGGGUGAUCGGCCACAUUGGGACUGAGACACGGCCCAAACUCCUACGGGAGGCAGCAGUAGGGAAUCUUCCGCAAUGGACGAAAGUCUGACGGAGCAACGCCGCGUGAGUGAAAGAAGGUUUUCGGAUCGUAAAACUCUGUUGUCAGAGAAGAACAAGUUGGAGAGUAACUGCUCCAGCCUUGACGGUAUCUGACCAGAAAGCCACGGCUAACUACGUGCCAGCCGCCGC